CUGGCGGGGAAUAGACCGUACCAUAAGCAGGCCAGACCAUCGCGAAGACGCUCUCCGCAGACUGCAGCUGGCUUUGAGCCCGACUUUUUGGGAUCCGUUCUGGGCCAGUUUACUCUUCACUUGCGGACUUUUUUUGUGGCUCGUGUGGCAGCAAAGGCCUAUUGAUUUAUGGCCAACUCGGCGCCCCAGCUAAUCAGCGGCAUUUGCAUGCAGAUCGCAAGAGCAAGUGGAUUGUAGGACCAUCUCAACUAAUGAUGUGCGUGAUUGGAAGCGAAACGAUGAGCAGCAGGUGAAUCAGCAUUUUGCCAUUCCGAUCGCACCUGGUGAACUGAAAAUUCAGAAGUAAGCGUUUCGCCGAGACUGGCAUUUGGUUUCAAUAACUUCACAAACACAUUUGCGAUCGUCACGCGGAAAAAAAACAGCUUCACUGCACUAAAAAAAUGGGACGCGAGUAUUCCGAGAGUGCAGCUUCGAGUUCCGUUUGACCGUUUUUCAACCAGCCGACAGCGCCGACGUUGAUCAACUGAAGAUGCAGCUGCCGGAAUAAGCAUCCUGUGGCCUCGAGGACGAACGAACUCGACGGCAACGAAAUGGCACGAGCUUCGAACGAAGCAACACGAAGUCCUGUCGUAAUCGUUAGCCGUUGGAUACUGUAAAACCGAACUGCCGUCCCGAAUGUCCUGAUGACGAACCCUCGUUGCCAAUUGUCGAAGUGGAUGUUCGAAUCGAACGCCGUCCACCAUGUGCCGAAUGCGAUCCACAUGGCGGGCACGUGGUGGAACGCAUAGCUCGAGGAUGCCGGCGGGGGGAUGUCGUGGCAGCGCAGGCGCCGUGUCCUUCGGAGGAGGAGUGUCGUCCACAUUCGUCUGACAAAUGGUACGACAAUUGCUACAAGCUGUGGUGGCAUUUGGCCACCGCCUGGCAGAAUCAGAAUCUCCUGCGACCACAGCGUCCAAAUGGAGUGACAGGAGGGUCCGCGCGUGGGGCGCCAGUUGAGAAGAACUCGAGAUUGCGACAGGUCCCUGGGAUACCCCAUUUCACCAAGAACUCAGAUCGAGUUAGUGGGACCACUAAUAUUUUAGCAAGCAAUAUAUGUGAAACUUCAUUUAGAAAGCCUCAUUGCAAUAGGCCUCAACAAAGGGCAAGGGUUACCGAUUUUGCUAACAGAUAUAAUUUCCAAGCAGACAAUACAGUUUUAUAAUCAUAUUAUGAAUAAAUAUCUAUCCAGAAAACGUAACCUUACGAUUUCAAGCAAUUGAAAUGAUAUAUUCUCAGCUGCAGAUCAAUUACUUGAUUUACAUUAUUGAACCCUGACUUUUGUACCAAUUUGUUUGCACAACCACUUAGCCACAUCCCACAUCGAUUCAUGUAUGCAUUUAGUCUACAAAAUGCGCUUAAAUCAUUUUGAGUUUCGCAUAUUCAUGGCCAAUUACUUUUCCCGGAGGUCCUCAUAAGUUGUCCGUUUCGAACUGGCCUCCAGCUGACAUUCGGUGGUUGAUCAGCCGCCCAACCUCACACCACCACCCCAUUUCCAUUUGGCCAUCGAAAGGAGCAACUUUGCCAGCGAUGGGCGGAAAAAGUUUCGAAGUGCAUUCUGCAUUCUGCCAGAUAAGCAGGCGACACAAUCCCAAUCGAAAUCCCAAUUGACAUAAUUUUCAAUAUUUCAAUGUCGGGAAAAUAGGAAGAUUGCACUGGAAUUUAAUUGAACUUUAACUGUCAGUUUUUUGGCUCCUCAGAGGCGUCGCAAAUUCGCUGGGGGACCACAUCUUUGGCCACGAUGUGACAGGACCGAAAGUCAGGGCUGUCAAAGCUAUCACAAAGUGGCUUAAUUAUCCAAUAGACGCUAGAUUCUAGAUGUCAGCGGAUGCCAGUCAUCUUAAAUUGUGGAUAGUGUCUUCAACUUUUCCGUUAAAUAACUCAAUUACGCCUCAGACUUUUGCUGAUGAAUGGGGCGGGGGUGGAGAAAUGGGGCUGGGCUGAGGCAUAAUUAUGCCAUUACGCAAUUUUUACCACCCGAUCCGCUUAAAUGAAUUGCAGCUGCUCCGCCAUCAGCUGAAAUGCGCUGCAACAAAUCAAAGUGCGAUUCCUUGAAUGCCACGACGAAAACUUUUCGGCAAUUAUCCACAGGAAAGGCGGAGAAUAGCGAAGAAAAUCGUUGGAAGUGCGCGGAAAAAAGUUGGAUGGGCGAAUUUAAAAUUACCAGGAAGCUUUGAGGAUGAUCCAAAUUUCCAUUAGAUCCAAUUCUCCGAAAGAGUUCUAGAAAUUGUUGCCAGAACUACUGAAAGUGCCCAGGGUCUUGUUUAACAAGCUUUUAAUUAACAAUCAAAAGUUUUUAUUUCUUCCUAUAAAAUUAGAUUUUACAAAUUAGAUCGACUUCUUUUAUAAUCUCAGUUCGAAAGUGCCCAAUUUAAUUUUGAGAUUAUUAACACCUAUACAAUGUGGCGCAAAUAAGUCCUCGCCAACACACAUGGUUAACUAAUCCUAGUCUUUUUCCUUCACUUUUCUACAAACUUCUGGGACAACGAAGAAACCAAAACCAAAACUUUUGUUUCUAAAACUCGUGUUCCAAGUACCAUGCACAAAGGAGGCGAUUCUGGGCGAGGAUGGGGCCAGGUGUGUGUGAAUUUUGAAUUUGAGUCCCACCCCUGCUUUCGCCCUUGUCUGGCAGACACCUGCUGGAGCUGUAAUAAGUAUGCAGCGACUACAAUUUCCUGACAUAUCCUGGAAGUAGAUGACUGCAGGGGUAUACACUUUGGAUGCCACUAUGUUUUUUGUGAAAAAUCAUACAUCACAAAUUGUAUAGAUUCGAUUUUCAAAAAAUAAAAGUACUACAGAAAACGAAAUAGUUGCUUGUAAGAAGUGAAAUGAAAUUAAACGGUAUUUUAUAGUCAGCAAAGAGUAGGCUAGGAAUUGUUCUUGUUUUUUGGUUGUUAGGUGUUAAAGCGGGCGAAAGUUGGAGGCCAUGUAGACAAGGACGAUUGUGGGCGGGUGAUAGGGGGUGCCGCAGAAGCAGGAAGCAGCUGCAUGUGUCGCGUACGUGUGCGACAACAAACACAAAAACAGCACUGCGAACAAGCGACAACAGUGUGACCAAAUGUGCAUGUGAGUAGCGACGUAGGUACGACUGUGUGCCUGUGUAAAUCGCACAUUUCAAUUUGCAUGUGUUAGCGACAAACUUUUGAUAAGUGUUACUCACAUUACACAAAGGGACGGAAAAGGAGAGCAGAUCCACAAACUUAUUGUCAAACACGAACAGGAACCAUCACUCCCACGCCCCAUACAUAUGCAAAUUCUGUUGCCACAUACACAAACACAAGCACACGCACACAUAUCAAUAUUUUUCAGACACUACGUGCUCGGCGAAUUUCGCACAACUCGGGAUCGAUGGAUAAUGAAAUAGC